ACGGUGAGGGAUGAAAGCUGGGGGAGCGAACCGGAUUAGAUACCCGGGUAGUCCCAGCUGUAAACGAUGCAGGCUAGGUGUUUGGACGGCCACGUGCCGUUCUAGUGCCGCAGGAAAGCUGUUAAGCCUGCCGCCUGGGGAGUACGAUCGCAAGAUUGAAACUUAAAGGAAUUGGCGGGGGAGCACACAAGGCGUGAAGCUUGCUGUUUAAUUGGAGUCAACGCCG
rnacentral:rRNA from 1 species